GUGUCAGCCGCCGCGGUAAUACAGAGGUGCCAAGCGUUAGGCGGAAUCACUGGGCUUUUAGCGCGUGUAGGUGGAUGGGUAAGUACCUUGUGAAAUCCCACGGCUCAACCGUGGAACUGCUGGGUAUACUGCUUGUCUUGAGGCACUUAGGGGGACCUGGAACAAAUGGUGGAGCGGUGAAAUGCGUAGAAAUCAUUUGGAACGCCAAAGGCGAAAGCAGGCUGCUGGGAGUGAUCUGACACUGAGACGCGAAAGCCAGGGGAGCAAACGGGAUUAGAAACCCGUGUAGUCC
rnacentral:rRNA from 1 species